AACGAACGCUGGCGGCAUGCCUAACACAUGCAAGUCGAACGAGACCUUCGGGUCUAGUGGCGCACGGGUGCGUAACGCGUGGGAACCUGCCCUUAGGUUCGGAAUAACUCCCCGAAAGGGGUGCUAAUACCGGAUAAUGUCUUCGGACCAAAGAUUUAUCGCCUUUGGAUGGGCCCGCGUUGGAUUAGCUAGUUGGUAGGGUAAAAGCCUACCAAGGCGACGAUCCAUAGCUGGUCUGCGAGGAUGAUCAGCCAAACUGGGACUGAGACACGGCCCAGACUCCUACGGGAGGCAGCAGUGGGGAAUAUUGGACAAUGGGCGAAAGCCUGAUCCAGCAAUGCCGCGUGAGUGAUGAAGGCCUUAGGGUUGUAAAGCUCUUUUACCCGGGAUGAUAAUGACAGUACCGGGAGAAUAAGCUCCGGCUAACUCCGUG
rnacentral:rRNA from 1 species